GACGAACGCUGGCGGCGUGCUUAACACAUGCAAGUCGAGCGGUAAGGCUCCUUCGGGGGUACACGAGCGGCGAACGGGUGAGUAACACGUGAGUAAUCUGCCCUUCACUCUGGGAUAAGCACUCGAAAGGGUGUCUAAUACCGGAUACGACGCACUCUCGCAUGGGAUGUGUGUGGAAACUUUUGUGGGUGGGGGAUGUGCUCGCGGCCUAUCAGCUUGUUGGUGGGGUAAUGGCCUACCAAGGCUUUGACGGGUAGCCGGCCUGAGAGGGUGACCGGCCACACUGGGACUGAGACACGGCCCAGACUCCUACGGGAGGCAGCAGUGGGGAAUAUUGGACAAUGGGCGGAAGCCUGAUCCAGCAACGCCGCGUGAGGGAUGACGGCCUUCGGGUUGUAAACCUCUUUCAGUAUCGACGAAGCCCUGGGGGGUGACGGUAGGUACAGAAGAAGCACCGGCCAACUACGUGCCAGCCGCCGCGGUAACAC
rnacentral:rRNA from 1 species